rnacentral:lncRNA from 1 species
ACAUCAUCUUCAUGCAUGGUAUGAUUUUCAUGUCCCUCAGUCUCCCCACCCAAAUUGGAAUACUCUUUAGUGUAUCAGCAAACCCUAGAAACCCAGAUUCUCUACUCUUAUUCAUGCUACAGACAUGUUGAAACCCAAAAUGCAAAACCAAAUUAAGUGCUUCAAAACAAGUAAUAUCUUCCAUCUUAGUCUCAAACAGCCCGUAUUUCUCAACAAUCUCAUCCCACACUUUGCCUUUACCCUUCAUCAUCCCCAGCCAAUCAAACUUCUCAUCAUUCUCUUCAAAGGCCACAAACUCGACAUCAAAGACCUCACACAGGACUCCCCAUAAACUCUUCCACGUAAAAACAUCACCAUUUGUGCAGUUGAAGGCUUGAUUCUUAGCUCCCUCAGUCACCGCUGCCCAUAUUUGUUGCUCAGCUAGCACCCUUGCAUCAGACAUGUCACAGAAGUGCUCCCAUGUGUAUUUGUUCCCAGGGUAUCGAAAUGGUAACCCCUGGUAUCGACAAAUUAUAGCAUAAACAGAUAGAGUAAGCAGUGUGUUAUUCAGACUUCUUGAAGAUGCACCUAUUAUUAUUGAUGAGCGAUGAACUGAGUGUGUAAUGGAAGGCAAAUAGGAGGCAACCAAGUCUUCUAAGGCAUAAUAGAAAUUGGGGUAGGGAAGUCUGCCUAGGUCCUCCUUGAAAGGUUGGUCCUGAUGGACAAGCUCGCCUCUAAGUGAAGGGUCAUAUAUUGGACCCAUGUAGUGUUUGGUUCCGGUUAGCAAAGUGACAUGCCUGAGCCUUGAAGGGGCAGCGGGUUUGAGUGCAUUAAGCACGUUGGCUAGCAUGGUGGAGUUCAUGGAGAUGUUUACUUCUUCAUUUCCAUGGUGUUGCAUGGAAACCCAGAAGACGUGGGUGAUCUCAUGAGCCACAGGUGAGAGAUAUGAAACCGUCGACCAAGAAAGCGGGAAACCAUCUUGGCAAGGGACGCCUCGCUAUGCCAUACACCUUCCACGGCCUGCCUGGAGUUGUUGGCUUCUGCAGAUCCUCAGCCAAGCUAAAUCCUGCCAAGCCAGUUAUACCCACAAUCAGGGCAACUGAUGCAUCUGAAGAGUUUUCUCUCUCCAUAAAGAAUGCCCAAUUAUGUUUCUUUUUGGCCCUAGCAUUGCACUGAGAUAUCAUUGAAGAUAAGAAAUCCUCCCCAUCUUGUUUUUUUUUUUUUUAAUUUCUGACCAUAUAUACAUCCUCAGAAAUUGACCAUACAUCCUUGGAAUAAACAACGGGAAUUCUGUGGCUAUGGAAUGCUAUGCUAUCUACAAGAAGAAUAAUUAAAGCAUUUUUCUAGAUAUACUGAGCAUGCUUUUGAAAGUAUCCUGUAACAUUGUUUUCUAAUAUAUUAAAAUAUAUUUUUAAUAUUAAUAUAUUAGAAUAAUCUAAAAAAAUAUAUAAAAAAUUAAUUGAAAACUAAAAAAAAUCAAAAAUAUUUUAGAAGACAAUGCCAAAAUAUAAUGAUCGAUCGCUUUACAACUUGGAUAUGAUGAAAUGCAGCCAAACCCCACUUGAAAUGAAUGGCCUGAAAUCGAGUUUGAAUUGUUAAAAUGCCCUAUAAUUAUUUAAUCCAACAACAUAUAAACCAGAUCAAAAUGUAACAUCAGCCCAGCAAAAUUGGAUGGAGAUAGUCUUCUAUGUCAGGCUCAAUUUCUAUUUUUUUUUCUUUUUUCUUUUUCAUUAAAACAAAAAAAACUUCUUAUGUUAAUAUAUAAUUAAUCAUAAAAUAAUUGUUAAUAUUGUCAUAAAGCUAUAAUCUUCUCGAAUACCAUGACAUAAUUAGAAUAGUUUUAAAAUCCGGUCCAACCCGACAUGUUAAUUCGGGACCCGGCUGACCCGGGGUUGGAACCGGGCCGAAUUUAAGAAAAAAUAAGAGAAGUAAAAAAUUCGGGUGACCUGACAAGUUGACCGGCCUGGUUAAAAACCUGGUUGCAACCCAUUGACUAUUUUUUUUUACCAAAACAAUAUCGUUUUGAUUUAUAUAAACAACUGGGUUGACCUGAGUGACUCGAUGACCCGAUGACCCGAUCUAAACCUGGUGACCUAGGUCUUGAGUUGAGUCGAUUAUCAGACCGGGUUUAAAAACUCUGAUAAUUAGAAGCUUUAUUAACUAUUAUUAUUUUAAUAAAUUUAUUUUUAAGAGAAUUUUAUUUUAAAAUCAAUAAAAAAAAUGGCUCUUUAAGAAAAGAAAGGCACACUUAAGUAUGGGAGGAAACUGGAAAAGUUUGUGCGCAUGAGAUCGGAAGGCCACAUCCAUCUGCCUAGGUUUGUUUCUCUCUCUUUGUUUUUUGUUUUUUUCAUACAAAACAUCGUCUAUGUAAACACUCAACUUAACACUGGUAUAUCAGUACUAAAAAAGACAAUUUUUGAUAGAGAAAUGAUAAUUAAAAAGAAAAAUUUGCUAUAGAUGGGGAUGAAAACCUUUAGAAAUUUAAUUUAAAUUUCAGAUGAAAUAAAAUAAUGAAUAAAAUAAUGAAAUAUUAACCUUGGCUAAAAUAAUUAUUUAAAGAAUUUUUUUAUAAAUUGGGGAGGAAAACAAUGAUAAUAGAGUAUAAUUCUAAGAAAAAUAAUGUAUGACUUUACGUGCAAAAAAACAUUGAUUUUUGAUAUAAAUUUCACAUACAAUCACGCUAUUUUGACUGGAAAUACUGAAAACUCUAAGUAAAUUCUUGUGAUGAUUAUAUAUUGAUGAAAAUCAUCAAUGAAUUAGUUUAAAAAUCAUGGGAAUAUAAGUAAAUAAAAUGAUACGUAAAAGUUUGAAUUUUUUAUAUAAAAUUAUCUAAUAUUUAAUUUCAUAGUACCAAUUAUAUUUACUGUUGAAUUAGAUUGAAAUAAUAUAAGUAGUCUCCAUUAUAAUUUGAGUUAGAUUUUCAAUCGUGGUUGUAAAAACUUGAAAUGAAUGAAAAUGAACAUUUGAGCAAAUGAGAAACAUAAAAGAUUAAGCAGUGGCCAAGAAUGUAAUAAAUAAAAAUUAGAAUCCUAAACCUAAUAGAAAAACAACAUAAAAUUUAUAAUUUAACUAGAAAUCAAUAGAGAAAAAAAAAUAGCAUUUAAUGAAAACCAUUGCAUCAUUAAUUAGUUACACUAUUGUAUUAUUUUUCUUACAUUGAGAAGAAACAAGCUAAGCAUGGAUUGGAGUGGACAUCAUCUUCAUGGUAUGAUUUUCAUGUCCCUCAGUCUCCCCACCCACAUUGGAAUACUCUUUAGUGUAUCAGCAAACCCUAGAAACCCAGAUUCUCUACUCUUGUUCAUGCUACAGACAUGUUGAAACCCAAAAUGCAAACCCACAUUAAGUGCUUCAAAACAAGUAAUAUCUUCCAUCUUAGUCUCAAACAGCCCGAAUUUCUCAACAAUCUCAUCCCACACUUUGCCUUUACCCUUUAUCAUCCCCAGCCAAUCAAACUUCUCCUCAUUCUCUUCAAAGGCCACAAACUCAACAUCAAAGACCUCACACAGGACUCCCCAUAAACUCUUCCACGUAAAAACAUCACCGUUUGUGCAAUUGAAGGCUUGAUUCUUAGCCCCCUCAGUCACUGCUGCCCAUAUUUGUUGCUCAGCUAGCAUCCUUGCAUCAGACACGUCACAGAAGUGCUCCCAUGUAUAUUUGUUCCCAGGGUAUCGAAAUGGUAACCCCUGGUAUCGACAAAUUGUAGCAUAAACAGAUAGAGUAAGCAGUGUGUUAUUCAGACUUCUUGAAGAUGCACCUAUUAUUAUUGAUGAGCGAUGAACUGAGUGUGUAAUGGAAGGCAAAUAGGAGGCAACCAAGUCUUCUAAGGCAUAAUAGAAAUUGGGGUAGGGAAGUCUGCCUAGGUCCUCUUUGAAAGGUGGCUCCUGAUGGACAAGCUGGCCUCUAAGUGAAGGGUCAAAUAUCGGACCCAUGUAGUGUUUGGUUCCGGUUAGCAAAGUGACAUGUCUGAGCCUUGAAGGGGCAGUGGAUUUGAGUGCAUUAAGCACGUUGGCUAGCAUGGUGGAGUUCAUGGAGAUGUUUACUUCUUCAUUUCCAUGGUGUUGCAUGGAAACCCAGAAGACGUGGGUGAUCUCAUGGGCCACAGGUGAGAGUUUGUUUGCUGUAUCGGCACAGUCUAAGGCAUCAAGAGAUAUGAAACCGUCGACCAAGAAAGCGGGAAACCAUAUUGGCAAGGGACGCCUCGCUAUGCCAUACACCUUCCACGGCCUGCCUGGAGUUGUUGGCUUCUGUAGAG